UGCUGCAAGUUUUUUCCUCUGGAGCUCCAAACAGCUGGAAUGAUUUCACUGCUACUUUCCAUAGGGGUUAAAACGAAAGAGCAGCAUUCUGGAGUAAUACUGGGAAUUGGGGCCAGCAGAAGAGCAUUUACAGUGGAUUACUAAGCUUCCCAAAUCACCAAAGAGGACACCAGCAGUGCGGCCUUGCAAAAAAUGAAAAUCGCUCAAGAGAUUUAAAGGGGAAAUUUAUUUUUAAAAUCCUGACGACUUGCAGCAAAGAGGUGGAUUUUAAAAAAGCUUAUCUAUCAAGAAUCAGUUUAAAUUUUAAUUCUAUCUGGGGACUCUUUCAUGCAUUCUAGCUUUAAAGUUUAUCUUUUGACAGGGACUUUUUGCCAAGGUAAUGGGCAGCUUUGUCAAUUUAAUUUGUCCAAGUUUUUAUUGCUGUUGGACUCCUUUUCCUAAUACAUACAUGUUUGGUCUCUAUUGAAGCU